AGGACGAACGCUGGCGGCGUGCUUAACACAUGCAAGUCGAGCGGAAAGGCCCUUCGGGGUACUCGAGCGGCGAACGGGUGAGUAACACGUGAGUAAUCUGCCCCCUAGCUCUGGGAUAGCUCCGGGAAACCGGGAUUAAUACCGGAUACGACCACCUUAGACAUCUUUUUGUGGUGGAAAGAAUUUCGGCUAGGGAUGAGCUCGCGGCCUAUCAGCUUGUUGGUGGGGUAACGGCCUACCCAAGGCGACGACGGGUAGCCGGCCUGAGAGGGCGACCGGCCACACUGGGACUGAGACACGGCCCAGACUCCUACGGGAGGCAGCAGUGGGGAAUAUUGCGCAAUGGGCGAAAGCCUGAACCGCAGCGACGCCGCGUGGGGGAUGAAGGCCUUCGGGUUGUAAACCCCUUUCAGCAGGGACGAAGCGAAAGUGACGGUACCUGCAGAAGAAGCGCCGGCUAACUACGUGCCAGCCGCCGC
rnacentral:rRNA from 1 species